rnacentral:rRNA from 1 species
GACGAACGCUGGCGGCGUGCCUAAUACAUGCAAGUUGAGCGAUGAAGAUUGGUGCUUGCACCAAUUUGAAGAGCAGCGAACGGGUGAGUAACGCGUGGGGAAUCUGCCUUUGAGCGGGGGACAACAUUUGGAAACGAAUGCUAUUACCGCAUAACAACUUUAAACAUAAGUUUUAAGUUUGAAAGAUGCAAUUGCAUCACUCAAAGAUGAUCCCGCGUUGUAUUAGCUAGUUGGUGAGGUAAAGGCUCACCAAGGCGAUGAUACAUAGCCGACCUGAGAGGGUGAUCGGCCACAUUGGGACUGAGACACGGCCCAAACUCCUACGGGAGGCAGCAGUAGGGAAGCUUCGGCAAUGGACGAAAGUCUGACCGAGCAACGCCGCGUGAGUGAAGAAGGUUGUCGGAUCGUAAAACUCUGUUGGUAGAGAAGAACGUUGGUGGGAGUGGAAAGCUCAUCAAGUGACGGUAACUACACAGAAAGGGACGGCUAACUACGUG